CAAUUGUGAUGCAGUAACUACAACGCGGCCUAAGUUUAUUAAAACCUCUGAAGUGAUCAUUAAAAGAAAAAAAAACUUGGAGGCGCUUAAGGCUCGGCGCAAACUGGAAAAUAUUAAUAGAGCUAAAAAAAAACAACCGAAAAAACGUUAUAAUUUUAUUCGUGCGGAGCAACUUGUUAAGAAAUACCGACUGAGGUAUAAAGAUGAACUUCGAUUAAGAAGGAAUCACCUCGCUCAGCUUAAAAAAAAAAGAUUAACUUUUAAAACAACUGGCACGGUGUGUGUCCAAUCUAAUCCUUUUGAAACGCACAAUUAUAAAAUGGAUUUAGAGAAUUGUGAAAAGUCUGGUAAAAUUAGCGUAACUGAUACUAAAAAAACUACUAUUUUACAAAGUGAGCGGAAAGUUAGCGACGUAAUUGUUGUCGUUAGGAUUAGAGCUAUGUAUUUCGCUUGCCAUAAAACUCGCAGUAUCAUAAAAAAACUAGGCUUGAGUCAAAUAUACUCUGCCGUCAUAAUACUGGAUAGCCGUCUGUCUCGUAAACUGCUUCAAAUAAUAGAUCCUUUUGUUACUUAUGGGAAACCAACUUCCAAGAUUUUUAGGGAACUUAUAUAUAAAAGAGGACGCUUUAAUUUUAAUGGUAAGACCUGCUCUUUUUUUAAUAAUAAGUUAGUUGAAGUUUGCCUUGGGAAGUUAGGAGUUUUAUGCGUUGAAGAUCUUAUCUAUGAGAUAGAGAAGUGCGGAAAGAACGUCAAAAAAAUUUUGAAAUAUCUUAUGCCUUUCAAACUUAGCAGCCCGCCCAAGCCGUUCCCUAAAAUUGCCGUUCCCUAUAGUUUAGGUGGCGACUACGGCGAUAGGGGCUCCGAGAUCACCGAACUUUUGGCA